GGUGACGUGGCCGAGCGGUUAUGGCGCUAGUUUCAGGUACUAGUUCGAAAGAGCAUGGGUUCGAAUCCCAUCGUCAUCA
rnacentral:tRNA from 1 species